ACGGAAGGCAGCAGCUAAGAAUAUUCCGCAAUGGACGAAAGUCUGACGGAGCGACGCCGCGUGGAUGAUGAAGGCCGGAAGGUUGUAAAAUCCUUUUAAGCAUGAAGAAUAAGCGGUGUAGGUAAUGACAUUGUGGUGACGGUAGUGCUUGAAUAAGCAACGGCUAAUUACGUGCCAGCGGCCGCGGUAAUACGUAAGUUGCGAGCGUUGUUCGGAAUUAUUGGGCGUAAAGGGCAUGUAGGCGGAUAUGCAAGCUUGGUGUGAAAGGCGGGAGCUCAACUCCCGAACUGCGUUGAGAACUGCAUAACUAGAGUGACUGAGGGGCAGGCAGAAUUCCAGGUGUAGGGGUGAAAUCUGUAGAUAUCUGGAAGAAUACCAAUGGCGAAGGCAGCCUGCCAGCAGAUGACUGACGCUGAGGUGCGAAGGUGCGGGGAGCAAACAGGAUUAGAUACCCUGGUA
rnacentral:rRNA from 1 species